GAGAAGAGGAUGAAACAUCAUUUCUGCAUUGCACAACUUGUAGUUGCAGGCUAUGCUGAAGCUCUUUACUCACUCGUUAGGCCGAGCGGAGUCGUCGGCGCCGGAACGAGAUCACAAGAAAAGCAAGAGCCACGUCAAGAAGAAAGGAAACAACAAGAGAGGGACUAAGGCUAAGGUGUCCCCUGACGUAAGCCUGACAUCAAAUGAUUUUGUUGUGAGGAUUGUUCAUAAAGGUGGAUUACAAGAGGUGUAUCAACGUGCACUCCCUGCAUCAAAGUUGAUGAGAAAGUACCCCGGAAUGUGCGUCGCAUCGCCGGAAGUCUUCAAGGAUCCUCAUCAGUCGGUGUUGGGGCCGGACCAAGUGUUGCUUCUUGGUCACAAGUACAUCAUGAUAUCGCCACGAGAUGUCCACAAGCUGAAGCGCAAACACGCUCAGCAAGGCGAAAACGAAGAGAAUAAUGCACCGGCGAUUCAAGAGUUAUCGCCGGCAGAAGAAGUUACCAGAGAUUCUCCAUGUGGACACCAAACUAGAGAGAGUAGUAAUAAAGCUUCUAAUGAAGCAAAUGGAGCACAAGGCCAAGAGAUGAUGGAAAGAAAGAAAAGUUUAUAUCCAGAUGGAGGAAUAGAGGAAGUUCAAGGUGGAGGGCCUGCACGAGAACCUCAUGGCUAUGCAAAGGUAUACUUCUCAAGUCCCAAAGAUAAGUCUAUAAAACAUACAAGAAGACGAAAAGGAAUAAUGAACAACCCUUUUGUGCCACCUCUUCCAAAGAACAGAGUAUAUAGGGUCUUUGAUUGGCAACCAAGGCUUCCCACUAUACAAGAGCUCUCUCCGUGAUAUUUUUCAUAGCUAAUUUUCUUUGUACAACUCCUAUUAUUCACUUUUCCUUGAGCGUGAGUUAGUUAGCUCAUGUCCAAAAAGAAAUGGGAGUACAAGUAUCAUUUCUUUAUGCAGACUUAGCCAUUUUUAGUGUAGUUCGUUUGUGCAAGGGAUCUUUGGUAGAUAAAUGAGGAUGUGCCUGCUACACCUAACAAGGAACCAAGCCAACAAACUCAAAACAACAACAUCCCAAUUGAGGAACCAGCAAAGGGUGUUCAGCACAUGAGCUAGCAAUUGAAAAGGAUCCAACUAACAAGAGAAAAAGAAGAGCCCCAUCAUGGAUGGAGGAUAUGGUAAAAAUCUGGGUUUGGUUGUGAGUUUGAAAACUAGAGGAUUCUGUAUAAAUUUAUUUUUAACUAAC